rnacentral:hammerhead_ribozyme from 1 species
GCAUUGCUGAGAAGUCCCACAAUAGGACGAAACAACCGUCCAUUGC